rnacentral:piRNA from 1 species
UNCUCACAGGAGCUGGGACUAUCUCUGA